AUAAUUUAUAAUCAAAAGCGUAAACAUAGGAAGCAUAUUCAAGAUUUUCCUUUUCCUUUUAGUGGAAGUGAUUAAGCCUGGUGUUUAUAAAGAUGAAAAAAUCAGAGACCGAUAUCACCUAGAAUUAGAACCGGUUUAAUAUGUAUUCUUGAAAAAAAUUUUCUUUGAGAUUCAGGAAGGUAUAAAGGGCGGGGGGGUCACAUAUUGCACUUGAUUCCAAAGGGAAGAUAAAGAGGAACAAAAUAAAAAGUAAGCCUUGUUUUAUCUUAGAGGGCUCAAAUAAGCAAAUUCUAUUCUGAUGAUUAGAAACAAAUCAAACCAAAGGCAAAACAAUUCCUGGUUUUAAACCAAAGACAAAGCAACCCCUGGGUUUCAAGCACAUUUACAUAUUUAUGUCCGCAUGGAAUGAAUGCAGUAGAAAGUGAACACAACUUCUCCGUAAAGGUUGGUUUACUGUGGGUCCGUGUUCUCUUUGUGUUUCUAGUUCCAUUGCUCUGCAUAGUGCUGGGCACAUACGUUAACACUGUCCAAUGAUGUUGUUUGAAUUAAAUCAUUGAACAAGAGCAAAGACCCUGAUUCUGGAUAUUAGACAAAGUAAAAGAUUCAAAUACUUGAAAGCUUCAGGACUCUCUGUCUGAAGGACCAUCUCAACUUGUAAGAAAACUUUGUGUAAUUUUAUGCCAGGGUAGGCAACUACAGAGGGAAUGAAAGAAGUUCUUCAGUGUAAGGUGGUUCCACCUUCUGCUAAGAUGUGACCGCCAAAAAAACUCAAAAUAUUUUGAGGAGAUGCUAUCUGCCAAAGGGAUUACCACAAUACAUGUAGGAUCAAAGAAAAUUCCACAUUUUACCCUGGUGAUUAGCUGUAAUUAAAUAAAGUAAGUCUUUUUAAACUUCAUUAACAGCAAGACGUUUGCUACAGCAGAGUGGGCACAAAUCAUCCAUUCUUAAUUAAAAGAUAAUCCACAGGAUGGCCAUAAUCUUCUUCUAAAAAUACACCAUUUCCCCCUGAAAGAUUUUCUCAUCAAAUAAGGAUAAAUAACAGUUUCUAUGAGUUUAAGCCAUGAAGGAAUGGAAGCUCCUCCCGUUUGCUUGAGUGAGUGCUGAAUGUGGCUGAUAACAUCACUUUGGCAUGCUAUUAUCUAAAAUGGUAGAAUACCUCACUUCAGCAAAGUCUGACAUAAAUCUUUGAAAACAAAGACAUUGCAUAUGUAUGAGCUGAAAUAGAUAUGACAGUGUUGGCACAUUAAUAUUCCUGUCACUAGGGGGUUUCAAACUUUUAAGGAGAGAAUGGGAAUGAAUUCAGACUGUAGCUGGUGAAAUAGGGCAACAUAGAGUAGGACAAUUAGGCAUCGCAAACCGUAGUAAAAUAUGUACAGAGAAAGGGGUUCCCCUGCUCCCUGACUUUGGUAAAAAAUGACUGUGGGAUUAUCUCUGGGGAAUGCCAGGAAUAAUUAAUUUGGUUUAGAGAUUUGCAUGGUUGUUCUAAGCAUACUAAUAAGAAUGUUCCGUGAAGACCAGUCCCAAUCAAUAGACGAGAGAGCUGUGUCUUUCUUACGUAGCCACUGUGGUGGCUCAUGGGUAACAGAUGCUUCCACUUUAUUCCACAACAACCCUCAUUAAAAGUAACCACGAGGCCUAAUUGAAUAGUCCUCCUUCUCGUUGGAUUUGUGCAGAAAAUAGUCCUAUCAUUGUAUGUUCUACAGUCAUUUCUUUUCCCGUUCUUGCUUGCUGAUAUAAAGCGCUUUACCAUAGCCCUUUCGCUUAACUCCCCAGGAAGAAGUAAGCGGGUGAGAAAAUAAACUUCUUUUUACUCCCUCUGGCUCCGUAGGGCCUUACUAUGUGUUGGGAAGUAUCUACUUCGAAAUGCCAACUAUUUUUAGAAAAGCCUGAUAAAUCAUCACAUUCUCGAACAUCACCACUUACCGGGGAAGAGGACCUUCGAUUUCCCUCCGUCUGGGGCUUUUUGGACACGUUGCUGUAGCCCUGGGAGGCUUGGUCUGAGCCCUGAACAGCAGUUGCCCAGAUGCAGAAAAAAGGCUUCAAAACCUCUCCUUUGACAAAGAGACAUGAAAUAAUAUCUGACAAAGGCAUCACAAGCAAACAUGAUGGCAAAUCAGCAAUUAUACGGGCUACAAAGGAGAGCGCAUCUCACUUCCAAAUGUCUUUUUUUCUUCUUCUUCAAAUUUUACUAAUAACAUCUCGUAGAGGUGCUUAGCAGUGAUUGAAAAGCCACCUAUAUCCUCUUGCUAAGUUUCCGUUGAGAAGAAUGAGCAAAGAGAGCUGUGCAGCCUCGUAACCAUGGAAGAAAUUGUCUGUAUAAUGUUCACAACUUUGGCAAGGAGCAUGAUACCAUCAACAGCAAUGGAGAAAGUUAACUCUUCUGUGAAGUUAAGGAGAAAAUCUUCAAAACCUUUUAAAUGGAAGGAGCUGAAACUAAAAUGGCUACAGUAGACUGGAAGAGAGAAAGAGGCAGUGGCAAAAACAGACUCAAGAGAUGUAAUAAAGAGGAUCAAGUAUGCCUGAGAGAAUAAGGAAGGAUGACAAGCAGGGGCCACAGAUGGAUUCAAGAAGAUCAUGGUGAUGCAAGCGUGGCUAUGUGGCGUGAGGUGAAUGUGGUUUUCACUUGAAAGAGAGUUGAUUCAUCGUGAUUAGACAAUGGUGAAUGAGACUGAGGAGCUGUCUCUGCUUCCUGACUUCUCACUUGACCAGGGAGGAUGUGAAUGGUGGCAAAAAGGAAAGAGAUCCUGAUAUUUUGAUACCGACAUCCCUCCGCUCCAGUUCCCAUCCUGGCUUAUUUCAUCAGUGAACUGGUUUGCAGAUCCAUGGUCUAGAGGCUGGCUGCUUCCACUCCCUUGGUGCUUUCAUCCUUCUCUCCCACCAUCUCAUGACGAUCCCCCAGGGGUGCCCUGUUAGGAACUGGGUUGUCAUCCUCAAAUUGGCAUGGCUGCAUUCAAUAGCAUUGCUUCUGGUGAUGUGUUUGUUAGCGGGCUGUUUGCUAAUAAUACCUGAUGAAGUAUCACCACCAUUAAGCUUCUUGAAAAUGAGCGUGAUGUGCUGUGGAAACUCUGGGAUUAGGGUACAUAGUAAUGAUGAAGUUUGGUUCCAGACCAGCUGUUUGUGACAAAGGGCUAGGGAGUUGAGACAGUCCUGAGCUACACUCUGUGCAGAAAGAGAAGAUGCAAAGAAAUCAUCUCUCCGAUGCAGAUUUCUUUCUGAUCUCAGUGACAGUUUACCCCAAGGGACUCAGAGGCUGGAAAUUUUUUUGUAAUGAGCAUUUUGCUUGUCUCACAACUCCAGAAUAAAGUUAGCACCUUAACUAAGGGGUAGAGUUUAUCAAAAAGGUUAAAAUCAGCGUAAAGUGAUAAAUUAGAGAAAGUUGCUUCCAAUUUUCUGCAGUUUAUAACUCUAAAAAGCUUAAGAUUAGUGGCUUUCUAAACAAAACAAAAAAGAGGAAUGAAUCAGAAUUUCUUGGGAAGGUUGUUAAUAACUCAAAUUCUAGGUGUUUCCCCUAGAGAUUCUGAUUCAGUGGGCUCCAUACAGUGUCUACAACACUGUGUUUUAGCAUAUAACCCAGUCGGUUCUGACUCAGGUGGUCUUAAGAAAACUCCUUGUGAGGCAAUGACACAGACUUCCCAGAGACCUAGAAUUUAAUCUUUAUUUUUUCUUUCUCCUCCUUUCUGUUCUCUUCCUCCUCCCCCUC